UACGUAGGCAGCGAGCGUUGUUCGGAGUUACUGGGCGUAAAGCGUGCGUAGGCGGUGUCUUAAGUUUGUUGUGAAAUCUCCCGGCUUAACCGGGAGGGUGCGGCGAAUACUGAGAUGCUGGAGUGCCGGAGAGGUAAGCGGAAUUCCUGGUGUAGCGGUGAAAUGCGUAGAUAUCAGGAGGAACAUUUGCGGUGUAGACGGCUUACUGGACGGUAACUGACGCUGAGGCACGAAAGCGUGGGUAGCAAACAGG
rnacentral:rRNA from 1 species